rnacentral:rRNA from 1 species
AUUGAACGCUGGCGGCAGGCCUAACACAUGCAAGUCGAACGGUAACAGGAAGCAGCUUGCUGCUUCGCUGACGAGUGGCGGACGGGUGAGUAAUGUCUGGGAAGCUGCCUGAUGGAGGGGGAUAACUACUGGAAACGGUAGCUAAUACCGCAUAAUGUCGCAAGACCAAAGAGGGGGACCUUCGGGCCUCUUGCCAUCGGAUGUGCCCAGAUGGGAUUAGCUUGUUGGUGGGGUAACGGCUCACCAGGGCGACGAUCCCUAGCUGGUCUGAGAGGAUGACCAGCCACACUGGAACUGAGACACGGUCCAGACUCCUACGGGAGGCAGCAGUGGGGAAUAUUGCACAAUGGGCGCAAGCCUGAUGCAGCCAUGCCGCGUGUAUGAAGAAGGCCUUCGGGUUGUAAAGUACUUUCAGCGGGGAGGAAGGGAGUAAAGUUAAUACCUUUGCUCAUUGACGUUACCCGCAGAAGAAGCACCGGCUAACUCCGU